rnacentral:rRNA from 1 species
GUUUGCCUACGGGGGGCAGCAGUGGGGAGUAUUGCACAAUGGGGGAAACCCUGAUGCAGCGACGCCGCGUGAGUGAAGAAGUAUUUCGGUAUGUAAAGCUCUAUCAGCAGGGAAGAAAAAAGACGGUACCUGACUAAGAAGCCCCGGCUAACUACGUGCCAGCAGCCGCGGUAAUACGUAGGGGGCAAGCGUUAUCCGGAUUUACUGGGUGUAAAGGGAGCGUAGACGGCAGCACAAGUCUGGAGUGAAAUCCCGGGGCUUAACCCCGGAACUGCUUUGGAAACUGUGCGGCUGGAGCGCAGGAG